rnacentral:rRNA from 1 species
CGGGGAAUUUUGGACAAUGGGCGAAAGCCUGAUCCAGCAAUGCCGCGUGUGUGAAGAAGGCCUUCGGGUUGUAAAGCACUUUUGUCCGGAAAGAAAUCCUUGGCUCUAAUACAGUCGGGGGAUGACGGUACCGGAAGAAUAAGCACCGGCUAACUACGUGCCAGCAGCCGCGGUAAUACGUAGGGUGCAAGCGUUAAUCGGAAUUACUGGGCGUAAAGCGUGCGCAGGCGGUUUGCUAAGACCGAUGUGAAAUCCCCGGGCUCAACCUGGGAACUGCAUUGGUGACUGGCAGGCUAGAGUGUGGCAGAGGGGGGUAGAAUUCCACGUGUAGCAGUGAAAUGCGUAGAGAUGUGGAGGAAUACCGAUGGCGAAGGCAGCCCCCUGGGCCAAUACUGACGCUCAUGCACGAAAGCGUGGGGAGCAAAACAGGAUUAGAUACCCUGGUAGUCCACGCCCUAAACGAUGUCAACUAGUUGUUGGGGAUUCAUUUCCUUAGUAACGUAGCUAACGCGUGAAGUUGACCGCCUGGGGAGUACGGUCGCAAGAUUAAAACUCAAAGGAAUUGACGGGGUCAUAGCUGUUUCCU